ACUGGUGUUACUGAUUCCUACCUUCUGACGAACCAUCAUGUCAUUAAUUUGGUGUGGCGGGGAAUCAGGACUGUUACUUUGAAAAAAUUAGAGUGUUUAAAGCAGGCUCGCGCUUGAAUACAUUAGCAUGGAAUAAUGAAAUAGGACGUUGACCCUAUUUUGUUGGUUUCUAGGAUUGACGUAAUGAUUAAUAGGGAUAGUUGGGA
rnacentral:rRNA from 1 species